rnacentral:lncRNA from 1 species
AUGCUAGUGUUCAGGCCUUUCACUGUACAGCCUCUCGUGACUCUGGACACACAGCCCGCUGAUGAUCGGCAAAGCACCCGGGCGCACAUGACCACGGUCCCCUGGGGGAUGAGCCCCGUCCCCAGAACCCUGGCCAUCCUUCCCUCCUCCGCUCCCCCCUGCCUGUUGGCUGUACGUGGAGCCGACUGGCGUCCAUGUUGCACACCUUCCGUCUGCAACUCAAACUCAGUACAGCACGUUCCCACACCAGCCUCAUCCAGCUUCCCCGCGGUUUCCAGUCUGACGACCGACCCAGGCCUCACAGGGCUACGACCUCCACUGGGACCCCACCCUGGCCUCUCACUGCCUGCUCUGGGCCUGCCUGGGGCCUCUGCUCUUCCUCUCUCCUCCUGCUCCAUCCUCCUUCACCCUGCCCCUGCAUCCUCCUCCACCCUCCUCCGCCUGCCCUUUCUCAUCUGCCCUCCUCCUCUCCCUCUCCCUCUCCUCCUCCAACACGCGCCCCCUGCUCCGCUCUCCUCCAUCCUUCCCCACCCUCCUUCAUGUCCUCCAGCCUUCCCGUCUGCUUCCUCCAGCUUCACAUCCUCUUUCUCCUGGUUCUCCUUCGGCACCGUCUCACCCGCCACCUCCGUCCAUCUCGUCCCCCUCCUGGGCCGCCCUCCCCAUCCUCUCUCAUCACUCCUUGAUCCUCCUCCUCCCACGUUCGCCAUCCUCCUUCUCUCCUCCUCCACGUCCAUCCACCAUUUCUCUCCUACCCCUGGAUCUUCCUCCUCCAUGCUGCCCAGUCAUCCUCCUCCUCCUCGUUUCAAAGGGACUCCAACCUCUUUCAUACUCCUCCUGUCCCUACUGCCCUGCUCCACCCUCUCCUCCUCCACCUCCUCCACUAUCCACCUCAUCCUCCUCCUUUUGGUCCUCCCCACGCUCUCUCAUCACUCCUCAGUCCUCCUCCUCCUCCUUCCAUCUCCCCCAUCCUCCUUCUCCUCCUGCCCUUCCAGCUACGUCCUCCUUCCUCCUCCUGCGUCUUCCUUCUCCAUCCUCUUCCAUCCUCCUGGUGCUACUCAAUCAUCCCCAUCCACCCACUGCAUCCACCCCCUCCUCACUCAUCACUCCUCUCUCCUCCUGCUCCUCCUCCUCGACUCCCCUCGUACAUCCACCCCCUAA